rnacentral:rRNA from 1 species
GAUGAACGCUGGCGGCGUGCCUAAUACAUGCAAGUCGAGCGAACAGACGAGGAGCUUGCUCCUCUGACGUUAGCGGCGGACGGGUGAGUAACACGUGGAUAACCUACCUAUAAGACUGGGAUAACUUCGGGAAACCGGAGCUAAUACCGGAUAAUAUAUUGAACCGCAUGGUUCAAUAGUGAAAGACGGUUUUGCUGUCACUUAUAGAUGGAUCCGCGCCGCAUUAGCUAGUUGGUAAGGUAACGGCUUACCAAGGCAACGAUGCGUAGCCGACCUGAGAGGGUGAUCGGCCACACUGGAACUGAGACACGGUCCAGACUCCUACGGGAGGCAGCAGUAGGGAAUCUUCCGCAAUGGGCGAAAGCCUGACGGAGCAACGCCGCGGGAGUGAAGAAGGUCUUCGGAUCGUAAAACUCUGUUAUUAGGGAAGAACAAAUGUGUAAGUAACUAUGCACGUCUUGACGGUACCUAAUCAGAAAGCCACGGCUAACUACGUG